rnacentral:rRNA from 1 species
AUUGAACGCUGGCGGCAUGCCUUACACAUGCAAGUCGAACGGCAGCGCGGGAGUAAUCCUGGUGGCGAGUGGCGAACGGGUGAGUAAAGCAUCGGAACGUGCCCAGUCGUGGGGGAUAACGUAGCGAAAGCUACGCUAAUACCGCAUACGAUCUGUGGAUGAAAGCGGGGGACCGUAAGGCCUCGCGCGAUUGGAGCGGCCGAUGUCAGAUUAGGUAGUUGGUGAGGUAAAGGCUCACCAAGCCGACGAUCUGUAGCUGGUCUGAGAGGACGACCAGCCACACUGGGACUGAGACACGGCCCAGACUCCUACGGGAGGCAGCAGUGGGGAAUUUUGGACAAUGGGCGCAAGCCUGAUCCAGCAAUGCCGCGUGCAGGAUGAAGGCCUUCGGGUUGUAAACUGCUUUUGUACGGAGCGAAAAGGCUUCCACUAAUACUGGGGGCUCAUGACGGUACCGUAAGAAUAAGCACCGGCUAACUACGUG